UACGUAGGGUGCAAGCGUUGUCCGGAAUUAUUGGGCGUAAGAGCUCGUAGGCGGUCUGUUGCGUCGGCUGUGAAAACCCGAGGCUCAACCUCGGGCCUGCAGCCGAUACGGGCAGACUAGAGUUCGGCAGGGGAGACUGGAAUUCCUGGUGUAGCGGUGAAAUGCGCAGAUAUCAGGAGGAACACCGGUGGCGAAGGCGGGUCUC
rnacentral:rRNA from 1 species